UACGAAGGGGGCUAGCGUUGUUCGGAUUUACUGGGCGUAAAGCGCACGUAGGCGGAUCGUUAAGUCGGGGGUGAAAUCCUGGAACUCAACUCCAGAACUGCCUUCGAUACUGGCGAUCUUGAGUCCGGAAGAGGUGAGUGGAACUCCUAGUGUAGAGGUGGAAUUCGUAGAUAUUAGGAAGAACACCAGUGGCGAAGGCGGCUCACUGGUCCGGUACUGACGCUGAGGUGCGAAAGCGUGGGGAGCAAACAGG
rnacentral:rRNA from 1 species